GGUUAAGCGACUAAGCGUACACGGUGGAUGCCCUGGCAGUCAGAGGCGAUGAAGGACGUGCUAAUCUGCGAUAAGCGCCGGUAAGGUGAUAUGAACCGUUAUAACCGGCGAUUUCCGAAUGGGGAAACCCAGUGUGACUCGUCACACUAUCAUUAACUGAAUCCAUAGGUUAAUGAGGCGAACCGGGGGAACUGAAACAUCUAAGUACCCCGAGGAAAAGAAAUCAACCGAGAUUCCCCCAGUAGCGGCGAGCGAACGGGGAGGAGCCCAGAGCCUGAAUCAGCAUGUGUGUUAGUGGAAGCGUCUGGAAAGGCGCGCGAUACAGGGUGACAGCCCCGUACACAAAAGCGCAUGUGCUGUGAGCUCGAUGAGUAGGGCGGGACACGUGGUAUCCUGUCUGAAUAUGGGGGGACCAUCCUCCAAGGCUAAAUACUCCUGACUGACCGAUAGUGAACCAGUACCGUGAGGGAAAGGCGAAAAGAACCCCGGCGAGGGGAGUGAAAAAGAACCUGAAACCGUGUACGUACAAGCAGUGGGAGCACCCUUUGGGGUGUGACUGCGUACCUUUUGUAUAAUGGGUCAGCGACUUAUAUUCUGUAGCAAGGUUAACCGAAUAGGGGAGCCGGAGGGAAACCGAGUCUUAAUUGGGCGUUAAGUUGCAGGGUAUAGACCCGAAACCCGGUGAUCUAGCCAUGGGCAGGUUGAAGGUUGGGUAACACUAACUGGAGGACCGAACCGACUAAUGUUGAAAAAUUAGCGGAUGACCUGUGGCUGGGGGUGAAAGGCCAAUCAAACCGGGAGAUAGCUGGUUCUCCCCGAAAGCUAUUUAGGUAGCGCCUCGUGAAUUCAUCUCCGGGGGUAGAGCACUGUUUCGGCUAGGGGGCCAUCCCGGCUUACCAACCCGAUGCAAACUGCGAAUACCGGAGAAUGUUAUCACGGGAGACACACGGCGGGUGCUAACGUCCGUCGUGAAGAGGGAAACAACCCAGACCGCCAGCUAAGGUCCCAAAGUCAUGGUUAAGUGGGAAACGAUGUGGGAAGGCCCAGACAGCCAGGAUGUUGGCUUAGAAGCAGCCAUCAUUUAAAGAAAGCGUAAUAGCUCACUGGUCGAGUCGGCCUGCGCGGAAGAUGUAACGGGGCUAAACCAUGCACCGAAGCUGCGGCAGCGACGCUGAUGCGUUGUUGGGUAGGGGAGCGUUCUGUAAGCCUGCGAAGGUGUGUCGUGAGGCAUGCUGGAGGUAUCAGAAGUGCGAAUGCUGACAUAAGUAACGAUAAAGCGGGUGAAAAGCCCGCUCGCCGGAAGACCAAGGGUUCCUGUCCAACGUUAAUCGGGGCAGGGUGAGUCGACCCCUAAGGCGAGGCCGAAAGGCGUAGUCGAUGGGAAACGGGUUAAUAUUCCCGUACUUGGUGUUACUGCGAAGGGGGGACGGAGAAGGCUAUGUUGGCCGGGCGACGGUUGUCCCGGUUUAAGCGUGUAGGUGUGUGUUCCAGGUAAAUCCGGUUCACUUUAACACUGAGGCGUGAUGACGAGGCACUACGGUGCUGAAGCAACAAAUGCCCUGCUUCCAGGAAAAGCCUCUAAGCAUCAGGUAACAUCAAAUCGUACCCCAAACCGACACAGGUGGUCAGGUAGAGAAUACCAAGGCGCUUGAGAGAACUCGGGUGAAGGAACUAGGCAAAAUGGUGCCGUAACUUCGGGAGAAGGCACGCUGACACGUAGGUGAAGUGAUUUACUCAUGGAGCUGAAGUCAGUCGAAGAUACCAGCUGGCUGCAACUGUUUAUUAAAAACACAGCACUGUGCAAACACGAAAGUGGACGUAUACGGUGUGACGCCUGCCCGGUGCCGGAAGGUUAAUUGAUGGGGUCAGCGCAAGCGAAGCUCCUGAUCGAAGCCCCGGUAAACGGCGGCCGUAACUAUAACGGUCCUAAGGUAGCGAAAUUCCUUGUCGGGUAAGUUCCGACCUGCACGAAUGGCGUAAUGAUGGCCAGGCUGUCUCCACCCGAGACUCAGUGAAAUUGAACUCGCUGUGAAGAUGCAGUGUACCCGCGGCAAGACGGAAAGACCCCGUGAACCUUUACUAUAGCUUGACACUGAACAUUGAGCCUUGAUGUGUAGGAUAGGUGGGAGGCUUUGAAGUGUGGACGCCAGUCUGCAUGGAGCCGGCCUUGAAAUACCACCCUUUAAUGUUUGAUGUUCUAACGUGGACCCGUGAUCCGGGUUGCGGACAGUGUCUGGUGGGUAGUUUGACUGGGGCGGUCUCCUCCUAAAGAGUAACGGAGGAGCACGAAGGUUGGCUAAUCCUGGUCGGACAUCAGGAGGUUAGUGCAAUGGCAUAAGCCAGCUUGACUGCGAGCGUGACGGCGCGAGCAGGUGCGAAAGCAGGUCAUAGUGAUCCGGUGGUUCUGAAUGGAAGGGCCAUCGCUCAACGGAUAAAAGGUACUCCGGGGAUAACAGGCUGAUACCGCCCAAGAGUUCAUAUCGACGGCGGUGUUUGGCACCUCGAUGUCGGCUCAUCACAUCCUGGGGCUGAAGUAGGUCCCAAGGGUAUGGCUGUUCGCCAUUUAAAGUGGUACGCGAGCUGGGUUUAGAACGUCGUGAGACAGUUCGGUCCCUAUCUGCCGUGGGCGCUGGAGAACUGAGGGGGGCUGCUCCUAGUACGAGAGGACCGGAGUGGACGCAUCACUGGUGUUCGGGUUGUCAUGCCAAUGGCACUGCCCGGUAGCUAAAUGCGGAAGAGAUAAGUGCUGAAAGCAUCUAAGCACGAAACUUGCCCCGAGAUGAGUUCUCCCUGAGACUUAGAGUCUCCUGAAGGAACGUUGAAGACGACGACGUUGAUAGGCCGGGUGUGUAAGCGCAGCGAUGCGUUGAGCUAACCGGUACUAAUGAACCGUGAGGCUUAACCUU
rnacentral:rRNA from 1 species